rnacentral:rRNA from 2 species
AACGCUAGCUACAGGCUUAACACAUGCAAGUCGAGGGGCAUCAGGAAGAAAGCUUGCUUUCCUUGCUGGCGACCGGCGCACGGGUGAGUAACACGUAUCCAACCUGCCCUUUACUCGGGGAUAGCCUUUCGAAAGAAAGAUUAAUACCCGAUAGCAUAAUGAUUCCGCAUGGUUUCAUUAUUAAAGGAUUCCGGUAAAGGAUGGGGAUGCGUUCCAUUAGGUUGUUGGUGAGGUAACGGCCCACCAAGCCUUCGAUGGAUAGGGGUUCUGAGAGGAAGGUCCCCCACAUUGGAACUGAGACACGGUCCAAACUCCUACGGGAGGCAGCAGUGAGGAAUAUUGGUCAAUGGGCGCUAGCCUGAACCAGCCAAGUAGCGUGAAGGAUGAAGGCUCUAUGGGUCGUAAACUUCUUUUAUAUAAGAAUAAAGUGCAGUAUGUAUACUGUUUUGUAUGUAUUAUAUGAAUAAGGAUCGGCUAACUCCGUGCCAGCAGCCGCGGUAAUACGGAGGAUCCGAGCGUUAUCCGGAUUUAUUGGGUUUAAAGGGAGCGUAGGUGGACUGGUAAGUCAGUUGUGAAAGUUUGCGGCUCAACCGUAAAAUUGCAGUUGAUACUGUCAGUCUUGAGUACAGUAGAGGUGGGCGGAAUUCGUGGUGUAGCGGUGACAUGCUUAGAUAUCACGAAGAACUCCGAUUGCGAAGGCAGCUCACUGGACUGCAACUGACACUGAUGCUCGAAAGUGUGGGUAUCAAACAGGAUUAGAUACCCUGGUAGUCCACACAGUAAACGAUGAAUACUCGCUGUUUGCGAUAUACAGUAAGCGGCCAAGCGAAAGCAUUAAGUAUUCCACCUGGGGAGUACGCCGGCAACGGUGAAACUCAAAGGAAUUGACGGGGGCCCGCACAAGCGGAGGAACAUGUGGUUUAAUUCGAUGAUACGCGAGGAACCUUACCCGGGCUUAAAUUGCAGUGGAAUGAUGUGGAAACAUGUCAGUGAGCAAUCACCGCUGUGAAGGUGCUGCAUGGUUGUCGUCAGCUCGUGCCGUGAGGUGUCGGCUUAAGUGCCAUAACGAGCGCAACCCUUAUCUUUAGUUACUAACAGGUUAUGCUGAGGACUCUAGAGAGACUGCCGUCGUAAGAUGUGAGGAAGGUGGGGAUGACGUCAAAUCAGCACGGCCCUUACGUCCGGGGCUACACACGUGUUACAAUGGGGGGUACAGAAGGCAGCUAGCGGGUGACCGUAUGCUAAUCCCAAAAUCCUCUCUCAGUUCGGAUCGAAGUCUGCAACCCGACUUCGUGAAGCUGGAUUCGCUAGUAAUCGCGCAUCAGCCACGGCGCGGUGAAUACGUUCCCGGGCCUUGUACACACCGCCCGUCAAGCCAUGGGAGCCGGGGGUACCUGAAGUACGUAACCGCAAGGAUCGUCCUAGGGUAAAACUGGUGACUGGGGCUAAG